CAAUAAGUGGUGUCCCGCCGCUCUUUCGGCCUUAUCGCCAUCUUUUCUGGUGGGUGACUUUCCUAGCCGUUUUUGGUUUUCCCGUACAAUCCAUUAACAUCUCAUCUCCGCACUUAACCAUCAUUACAGCAAACUAACUGUAGCAUUUUCCCCUUUACUCGUAGAAACUUCUGCGCCAUGAGAGCCAAGUGGAGGAAGAAGCGAAUGCGCAGGCUUAAGCGAAAAAGAAGAAAGAUGAGGCAGCGGUCCAAGUAAACCGAUAAUUUGUGCACCAUGGAAGCCACAGGAGCAGAAAUAAGGAAAACCAGAGGCCAGUGGUGAUGGUACACAUUACCGGACUGAAUGCCUACUGUCUCAGUGGAUCUGGAACAUUGACCAUCAUCCGAGGCAGCGACCACCUUGGCAAGACUCACGUUGUCCAUACUAAAACAG